GUGGGUAUAGCUCAGUUGGUUAGAGCACCAGAUUGUGAUUCUGGGGGUCGUGGGUUCGAGCCCCAUUACUCACCCCA
rnacentral:tRNA from 2 species